GGAUUAGAUACCCUGGUAGUCCACGCCCUAAACGAUGUACACUAGUUGUUGCCAUGCUAGACAUGGCAGUAAUGCAGUUAACACAUUAAGUGUACCGCCUGGGGAGUACGGUCGCAAGAUUAAAACUCAAAGGAAUAGACGGGGACCCGCACAAGCGGUGGAGCAUGUGGUUUAAUUCGACGAUACGCGAAGAACCUUACCUGGACUUGACAUAGUAAGAACUUUCUAGAGAUAGAUUGGUGUCUGCUUGCAGAAACUUAUAUACAGGUGCUGCACGGCUGUCGUCAGCUCGUGCCG
rnacentral:rRNA from 1 species